rnacentral:rRNA from 1 species
CGAUGCAUUGAGCUAACCAGUACUAAUGAUCCGUGAGGCUUAACCUUACAACACCAAAGGUGUUUUG